rnacentral:tmRNA from 1 species
GGGGACGAAAUGGUCUCGACGGGCUGCGAAGUUGGAUGGAACGGCAUGCCGGGAUUUCUCAUUAGCCCGCAAUUAGUGAGAGCAUUUUUUAAAUGCCAAUUCUGAUUAUGCAAUGGCUGCCUAAGUAAUUAGGUGACCCGUCUACCUCAGCUUUCGCCUGCUAGGGGUGGGGAUAGACGUCGCUUAUAGCAGGACGAUCUGCAGGAGCGCCCGGCUGCUGCGGAUUCGAUCUUCCGGGAUCGCCGGUGAAGGGCUAGCCGUACUGCCUGACGCCGGCUAAACUCAAUCGUACGGCUAAGCAUGUAGAUGUACCGUCGGACUCCUUUCCGGACCCGGGUUCGAUUCCCGGCGUCUCCACUU